GAUGAACGCUGGAGGCGUGCCUUAAGCAUGCAAGUGAAACGGGUUUUUGGUCGCAAGAUCGAAAACUAGUCGCAGACGGGUGAGUAAUACGUAGGAAUCUACCCUUUGGCGGGGAAUAACUUGGCGAAAGCCGGGCUAAUACCGCAUAAGAUCGCAAGAUGAAAGGCCUUUACGGGUCACCGAAGGAGGAGCCUAUGUCCUAUCAGCUAGUUGGUGGGGUAAGGACCUACCAAGGCGACGAUCAGUAGCUGGUCUGAGAGGACGAUCAGCGACACUGGGACUGAGACACGGCCAAGACUCCUACGGGAGGCAGCAGUGGGGAAUUUUGGACAAUGGGCGAAAGCCUGAUCCAGCAAUGCCGCGUGUGUGAAGAAGGCCUUCGGGUUGUAAAGCACUUUUGUCCGGAAAGAAAUGGCUCUGGUUAAUACCUGGGGUCGAUGACGGUACCGGAAGAAUAAGGACCGGCUAACUACGUGCCAGCCGCCGCCGUAA
rnacentral:rRNA from 1 species